UUUGACUGAGAGAGAGAAUUAGUGGAGAGAGAGAGGAUAAGAACUAUUGUUUACAUGCGGUCCAGAUACUUGUUUGAGCAUCCUUGCAUCCUGUGAUCGAUACCCCCAAGGUAAAUCCUACACUUUUAUUUUAUGCAAGAAUUGAGGUUGAUAGGGGGGAUUGUCAAACAUGAUUUGCUAAAUUGUUGACUAGAUGAACUUGGUUGCUGUACUAGGAUAUGGUAUAGUUUGCUUCUAGAUUAGGAAUUUCUUUUUUUUUUUUUUUUGAACAAACAGAUUAGGGAUUUCUAAGGUGUUGAUUCUAAGUUUAAAAUCUGUGAGAACCUGCUGUUUUCAAACCUCUUUCAGAGAGACUGUCUGUGUGUUUUGCUUGAGGACAAGCAAAAUGGUAAGUCUGGGGGAGUUGAUAGACCACGGAUUUGACCCACUUUUUCUAUGGUUUAUAAGUGUUUUAACUACUAUUUAUUAUAUUAUAGAGUCUAUUUAGUAUAUUUAUAGGAUCGUGAGUGAUUUUGAAGAUAUUGAUGAUUUUAGAACAUUUUGGAGAUAUUUGGAGUAAGCACCCGAGAUGACCAUCGAGCACGAGCAUCGGUCGACACUGAAGAGGAAUAAUAGAUCGAUGUUCACAUCUUGACAUCGAUCGACAGCAAAGCGCGCAGAAAGCCCGUUUGGUCUCAGCCGACUUAAAGCCCAAUUCUUCACCAAUUUACAAGAUUACCUCUAACGUAUUUUAAC
rnacentral:lncRNA from 1 species